rnacentral:pre_miRNA from 1 species
GAGAGAAGGGCAUUGGUGAUGUUUGUUGACAGAAGAUAGAGAGCACAGAUGAUGAAAUGCUAACUGGCUCAUUGCAUCUCAUUCCUUUGUGCUCUCUAUGCUUCUGUCAUCACCUUCAGCCUCCCUUUGUGCAACA